GACGAACGCUGGCGGCGUGCUUAACACAUGCAAGUCGAACGGAAAGGCCUGCUUUCCCUUGUGGAUUGCGGGUACUCGAGUGGCGAACGGGUGAGUAACACGUGAGUGAUCUGCCCCCAACUUGGGUAUAAGCCUGGGAAACUGGGUCUAAUUCCCGAUAGGACUGCAGGGUGGUGCCUGUGGUGGAAAACGAUUUUCUAGUGGUUGGGGAUGAGCUCGCGGCCUAUCAGCUUGUUGGUGGGGUAAUGGCCUACCAAGGCGGCGACGGGUAGCCGGCCUGAGAGGGUGGACGGCGACAUUGGGACUGAGAUACGGCCCAGACUCCUACGGGAGGAAGCAGUGGGGAAUAGUGCACAAUGGGCGGAAGCCUGAUGCAGCGACGCCGCGUGGGGGAUGACGGCCUUCGGGUUGUAAACUCCUUUCGACCGCGAGGAAGCCACCUGGUUGGAAGGGUGGUGACGGUAGUGGUAGAAGAAGCACCGGCUAACUACGUG
rnacentral:rRNA from 1 species